AUACCGCCUCCGGCGGGAGCAGCUAAAAUUAACGUGGACGCCGCAGUUGGGAGAGGAGGGAGACAUGGAGCUGCGGGAGCUAUAUGCAGAGACCACUCGGGUGCUUUCGUGGGAGCUUCGGCAAUGGUGUUCAUGAGGAUCUCAGACCCAGCUACUCUUGAAUGCUUGGCAAUUAGGGAGUCUCUUUCCCUGGCAGAGGAUCUGUAUGACCGGAAGAUUCAAGUUCCAUCAGAUUGCAAGGUGGUUGUGGAAGAUGUCUGA
rnacentral:rRNA from 1 species